rnacentral:rRNA from 1 species
UACGUAGGGUGCAAGCAUUAAUCGGAUUUAUUGGGCGUAAAGGGCGCGUAGGCGGGAUGAUAAGUCAGAUGUGAAAGCCCGGGGCUCAACCCCGGAACAGCAUUUGAAACUGUCAUUCUAGAGGGUAGGCGGAGAAAAUGGAAUUCCACAAGUAGCGGUGAAAUGCGUAGAUAUGUGGAAGAACACCAGUGGCGAAGGCGAUUUUCUAGCUUAUACCUGACGCUGAGGCGCGAAAGCAAGGGGAG